AUACCAAGAAAUUUAGUUAUUUUUUUAUGGUAAAAAGACAGUUAGGUAAAUAAAAGAUCAUUGAAUUUUUAAUAUAGGGGUAAAAUCUAAAUACUAAAAAUUAUAUCAGAUAUGAUUUAUUUUGAUACUAAAUCUGUGACAGCUUUAAGGGAAACUGGGAUUAGAUACCCCAUUAUUUUUAGUUAUAAAUUUAAUUUACAUUUACCAGAGUAUUACGAACAAAAAAGUUUAAAACUCAAAGGGCUUGGCGGUGUUUUAUACUUCUCAGGGGAACCUGUCUCAUAAUCGACAAUCCACGUUAAACCUAACCUUUUGUAGUAAUACAACUUGUAUACCGUUGUCGUCAGGUAACUUCUUAAAAUUUAGUAGUUAGCUUGAAAAUUUGAUUGAUUAAAACGUCAAAUCAAGGUGCAGUCAAUAAAAAGGUGAAGAUGGGUUACAAUUAUAUAUUUAUAAAUACGGAAAAUAUUUGAAAUAUGUUUUGAAGGCGGACUUGAAAGUAAUUUUAAUUAUAUAAAUAAAAUGAAUUAAGUUCUGAAACAUG
rnacentral:rRNA from 1 species